UUGUUCUUACAUAAAACGCCAUUGGAAGACCAAAUUGCCAUCUGCCUGAGAUUAUAUAAGCAGAUAAUUAAAUAAAAGCAUUUAUUUCUAUUCAUUAUAUAACCAUUUCGAAUGCAGUCAGACACACUCAAGAAUAUCGCUAUACGAGUAUAAGCUCAACCUAAUUUGAUAUUCUACAUAGUUGAAGAAGACUAAAUCUCAAACAUGAAGCUCGCACUGAUUCUUGUGGCCGCUUUAGCAGUCGCUUCACGACCACCUCAUCCGUGGCAAGUCCCUGGCAGCGGUUAGGUCAGCACGGACUCAUUCCCAAAAGUUUUCCGAUAAUAAAAGGGUCAAGUACAGAGAUGUCAUUGGUCGAACACACCUUCUAUAUUAGCUACAUCAGUUAGGAUGAAUUGAUGUGUAUCUCAAAAUAAAAAAAAUAAAAAAAUAAAAUAAAAGAUUGAGUAUUUGCAGUUUUGAUACAGAGAA